rnacentral:rRNA from 1 species
UACGGAGGGUGCAAGCGUUAUCCGGAUUCACUGGGUUUAAAGGGUGCGUAGGUGGGCAGUUAAGUCAGUGGUGAAAUCUCCGGGCUCAACCCGGAAACUGCCAUUGAUACUAUCUGUCUUGAAUAUCGUGGAGGUAAGCGGAAUAUGUCAUGUAGCGGUGAAAUGCUUAGAUAUGACAUAGAACACCAAUUGCGUAGGCAGCUUACUACCCGAAUAUUGACACUGAGGCACGAAAGCGUGGGGAUCAAACAGG